rnacentral:rRNA from 1 species
AAUGAACGCUAGCAGCAGGCUUAAUACAUGCAAGUCGAGGGGUAGCAAGAUUGUAGCAAUACAAUUGUUGACGACCGGCAAACGGGUGCGGAACACGUACACAACCUUCCUACAAGUGGGGAAUAGCCCAGAGAAAUUUGGAUUAAUACCCCGUAACAUAGCGAUGUGGCAUCACAUUGCUAUUAUAGUUUCGGCGCUUGUUGAUGGGUGUGCGGCUGAUUAGAUAGGUGGCGGGGUAACGGCCCACCAAGUCUACGAUCAGUAGCUGAUGUGAGAGCAUGAUCAGCCACACGGGCACUGAGACACGGGCCCGACUCCUACGGGAGGCAGCAGUAAGGAAUAUUGGACAAUGGACGCAAGUCUGAUCCAGCCAUGCCGCGUGAAGGAUUAAGGUCCUCUGGAUUGUAAACUUCUUUUAUAAGGGACGAAAAAAGGUCUUUCUAGAUCGUCUGACGGUACCUUAUGAAUAAGCACCGGCUAACUCCGUGCCAGCCGCCGCAGUAACAC